rnacentral:lncRNA from 1 species
AGUAGUUGUGAAUCAGAGGUGUCAAGGUCCACUCCCAAGAUUCCAAAUAGCAGCUCUUAGUCUUGCAAGAAAAUUUAGCCAGGAGAAGGAUAAGUGAGAGGCCUACUGGAAGACAGAGGAAGUCGUUAUUCCUAGCAGAAGGUGAAAUUAGUGCUUGGGAUUCCCUCACUGUAAUGACUGACUGUUUUGUCGGCCAGGAUUGGAUUAACCUAAGGGUAUUCAGAGAUCUAUGUAUCUCACUGGGUCAUCUGCAUUUUACUGAGGAAUAGGAAGAUUAACUGCAGGCACCAGACUGGUCGUCCCACUUAACGUAACCCUGGAAAGUUCCUCUCGCAUUCCAGAAACUACUCAGUCUCCUGCCUCUGUGAAGUUUGCCUAUCUGUCUGGCAAAAGACAGUUCAGGUCGUGUUUUUCACAAGCAAUAGAAAAAGCCAGUUUCAACAAAGCUAGGAGUUUGUCCUAAGAAUCUGGAGUUACUUAAGAGAUAUUUCAACAACCUGUGUCUUCAGUAAGGCUCCCCGGAAACAGACGCCUAAACAGAGAGCUACAUGCCGGGUGCUGUGGUUUUUUGUUUUGUUUUGGUGGGGGGUGCUCUAAGAAACAACACCUGUAGGGGGAGUAAGGGAAACAGACUUGGGCAGAGGAAGAAGUUGAACUUUGAUGCCGUUGUAUUCAGCUAAGCCUACAGGGUGCUGGAUAUCAGUGUAAAAUUGUCUCCAGUAAAAGGAGCUGGGGGCCUUUUUAGGGAAGUAGAACAAAUGGACUGCUACACCUGGAAACCUAAGCCAGCAGCCUGGAAUUACAGACAUUGCACACAAAAGUGAGGGAAGUUUUCCUGUAGGAUACACUCACAAAUAUGCCUACCUUGAUUUAAUCCUACAGGGGUCUAAAAGUCUUAUUCGUAAAAUUUGUCAAGCCCUUGGAAGAAGAGAGUUGGUGUCUGCUUUUCCAUCAACUUGUAAAUUACUGGAGAGGAGGACCUCAAGACAUUCUCCCUUGUUUUCUUCACAAUCAGGGAUGAUAUUGAAGAUAGUUAACACCCAGUACAGCACAGGCACCAACCAACUCAAAUGGACACUGUUCUUAGGCAAUUCGUAUGGCUAUACUAGUGGAUACAGCUGCAUAUUUGUUCUGCACACAGAAGGCAUCCAAUAAAUGAUCGUUGGAUUGAAUUUCAUUGGUUUGGUCAUCAUGGCCUUGCCACCUUUGUUCCAGAUAAAAGGAUCUGUAUGAGAGAAGCAGCUCUGGCACAUGCACACUUGCGGAUGCCGUUCAUCUGCUUUUCUCCUGGGACUACCAGGAAAUAAAUUAGCUAUCAGAUCAGAGCAAACCAAAAUUUAAAAGAUCAUAAAUGAAAAAUGAAUGUGUUGUUAUUUGACUUUUUUGUAUCGUUAUUCAUAGAUUUUCUUAAAGUAAUAAUCAGAGAACAUCAUCAACUAAAAUAUGUUUGUAACCCAAGUCAGUGACGAACUUGGUAAACACGGCAGAAUUACGCCCUCUCUUAAUUAGCCUUUGGGGAGACACCAAGUUUUGAACCGCUGCUUGUAGCUCUGGGAAUCUUCUAAGAAGCAGGAGUAGAUUAACCUCUAGAAGAGAAAUAUGCCAAAAACUGAUUUUCACAUAUGACUUGGUGAGUCUUAAACAGAAACAGGCUAACAUGCCAAAUAUGACCAGCUGAGAAGUAUCA